UACGUAGGGGGCUAGCGUUGUCCGGAAUCAUUGGGCGUAAAGCGCGUGUAGGCGGCCCGGUAAGUCCGCUGUAAAAGUCGGGGGCUCAACCCUCGAAAGCCGGUGGAUACUGUCGGGCUCGAGUACGGAAGAGGCGAGUGGAAUUCUCGGUGUAGCGGUGAAAUGCGUAGAUAUCGAGAGGAACACCUGCGGCGAAGGCGGGUUGCUGGGCUGACACUGACGCUGAUGCGCAAAAGCCAGGGGAGCGAACGGG
rnacentral:rRNA from 1 species